UACGGAGGGUGCAAGCGUUAAUCGGAAUUACUGGGCGUAAAGCGCGCGUAGGCGGCUUGGUCAGUGAGGUGUGAAAGCCCUGGGCUCAACCUGGGAACUGCAUCUCAUACUGUCAGGCUAGAGUAUGGUAGAGGAGUGUGGAAUUUCCUGUGUAGCGGUGAAAUGCGUAGAUAUAGGAAGGAACACCAGUGGCGAAGGCGGCACUCUGGACCAAUACUGACACUGAGGUGCGAAAGCGUGGGGAGCAAACAGGAUUAGAUACCCGCGUAGUCC
rnacentral:rRNA from 1 species